rnacentral:rRNA from 1 species
UACAGAGGUGGCAAGCGUUGUUCGGAAUUACUGGGCGUAAAGGGCGCGUAGGCUGCCUUCUAAGUCCGACGUGAAAUCCCCCGGCUUAACCUGUGAACUGCGUCUGAUACUGGAGGGCUUGAGUGCGGGAGAGGGAUGUGGAAUUCCAGGUGUAGCGGUGAAAUGCGUAGAUAUCUGGAGGAACACCGGUGGCGAAGGCGGCAUCCUGGGCCGGCACUGACGCUGAGGCGCGAAAGCUAGGGUAGCAAACGGG